CACUUCAAAUGAAAAUCUUCGUUCUUCUGUGUUCAAGCUUCAUUCGUCACCUUCAAUCUUGAUUCUUCGCGCCGUUGACGGAAAUUUUCAAUCAACCAGUCCUCACUACACUCCGCUCGGUCCACCGUCCGCACUACAUUCGGCUCCGCCCGUCCGAUAUUAUUGUUAAGGUUUGUGACUUUGUGUUUCAUUGAUUUUUUCUGGAGCAAACAUUGAAAAUCUGGACUUUAUUUUUUUUGGUUUUGUGUUUAAAGCCUUUUGACUAGAAGCAGUGAAGGAGAAGAAGAAUAAGAAGAAGAAGAUCUGAAAGCUCAUAUACUUAAACGUCAUAUCUUCUUCUGUCUGUUUUCACAAAUGCCACGCCCCUCUUUUCACAAGCUUAUUCUCUCAUCAACCAUUAGAGACAGGAAACUGUUUUCAUAUUUCAUGCUCUAUGGAAUGACUGUGCUUGGAUCUGGAUAAGUUGUCUCUUCUUACAGCUGCAUUAUCUUUGAUUUUGUUAAUCUCUAUCCGAAAGAGAAUUAUUGAUCCAGCAACUGCGGGCUUAGCAGUGACAUAUGGACUCAAUUUAAAUCUCAUACAAGCUGUGGAAUAUGGAAUCUUUGCUAUCUGGAGAACAAGAUUACAUCAGUGGAGGUAGUACUGUGCUAUUCCUAGUUAGCUGCCUCUUUUGAUAGAAGAAAGCCGGUUUGACCAUUCUUGGCCAUUACAUAGAGAAGUUCACAUUCGUGAUUAGCAGGUUCGCUACGCCUCACACAUGCCACUUGUGUUGUGAGUUUCUCACAUGCACUUUCCCAGGAGGGAUGAAAACAACCAUAGAAGGGACAACUAGUAGUGUUAAAUCUACUCUCAUUCAAACAUUGUUCCGCAUUGUGGAACCUGCAGCUGGUCAGAUUGUGAUAGAUGGAAUCAUUAUCUCUUCAAUUGGACAUCAUCAUUUGCGGUCAAGACUAAGCAUUAUUCCUCAGGAUCCGACCAUGUUUGAAGGGACUGUACUGAGCAACCUGUACCCGCUUGAAGAAUACACAGAUGACAAUUUGGGAGGCUUUGGUUACUGAGAAUGGAGAGAAUUGAAGUAUGGGACAGAGGCAGUUGUUGUGCCCUGGGCGUGUGCUACUUAAGAAAAGUAAAUUCGUGGUGCUUGAUUAAGCUAAUGCAUCUGUCGAUACUGCUACUGAUAUUCUGAUUCAGCUAACUUGUCGACAACACUUCACUGACUGCACAGUCGUAACCAUUGCACAGAGGAUAACUUCUGUUAUUGAUAGUGAUAUGGUUCUUCUUCUUAAUUGCGGUUUCUGUAGUCCUGAGUCUGGAUAUUCUUUUAUUGGUUGCGUUAUUGUCACGGUAACAAUAAUUAUUUUUCAAUAUCUUGGUGUAGGACUUGUUGAGGAAUAUGAUUUUCCAGACAAAGUUGCUCGAGAACAAGUCAUCGUCUUUUACACAACUUGUAGAAUACAAUCUCAGGGCAAAUUCCAGUUUCUUUUGUUACUGUAAUCUGCUUUGGAAUUAAAUCCUUUAAUCGAUAAAGCAAUUCUAUUUUUGAAGUGAAAGCACUAUAGCAUUGUAUU